GAUGAACGCUGGCGGCGUGCCUAAUACAUGCAAGUCGAGCGAACAGACGAGGAGCUUGCUCCUCUGACGUUAGCGGCGGACGGGUGAGUAACACGUGGAUAACCUACCUAUAAGACUGGGAUAACUUCGGGAAACCGGAGCUAAUACCGGAUAAUAUAUUGAACCGCAUGGUUCAAUAGUGAAAGACGGUUUUGCUGUCACUUAUAGAUGGAUCCGCGCCGCAUUAGCUAGUUGGUAAGGUAACGGCUUACCAAGGCAACGAUGCGUAGCCGACCUGAGAGGGUGAUCGGCCACACUGGAACUGAGACACGGUCCAGACUCCUACGGGAGGCAGCAGUAGGGAAUCUUCCGCAAAGGGCGAAAGCCUGACGGAGCAACGCCGCGUGAGUGAUAAAGGUCUUCGGAUCGUAAAACUCUGUUAUUAGGGAAGAACAAAUGUGUAAGUAACUAUGCACGUCUUGACGGUACCUAAUCAGAAAGCCACGGCUAACUACGUG
rnacentral:rRNA from 1 species